rnacentral:SRP_RNA from 1 species
CGCCGGUCUUCCCGCGGCGCGAAGUUGUGAACCCCGUCAGGCCCGGAAGGGAGCAGCGGUAGCGAUGGAUGCGGGUGCCGGGAUCGGAACGGUGUGG